UAAAUACACGUUAAAAAAAAUUAAACUGCUUUAAAUCAUUAAAGUAAUACAUUCACAUUAUAUCAAAUUAGUAAACUGUUAAUGAUUUAGUUUCUUACAAUGGAUUUCAUAGCUCUAAUUUAAGUUCUAGAUGUCGCAUCUAGAUGUUGCCAUGAUGAAGUAAUUGAACUUGUUCAUUCUUUUUAUAACUCUUGUUCAACAAUGAUUCCAUGGUUCCAGGAGCAUCUGGAGUAGACACAAGCAGAGGAGUCAGCUGCCAUACUUUUUGAACAAAGUUGUUCUUCCUCUGCCUUUAGGCAAAAUAUAGAUAAGCUCUGGCAAACGUAUUUCCCGGGAACAAAUCUUAUUAAGCUUUCUGAAGUUUAGAAUUCUCGCCAACUACUCUGAGGUUUCUUAGGUCAGUAAGUAUUGAAUCAAACGUCUUGUAGUUUUCGUUUGUUUUGUUUUCAAGAUCGGAGUAACAGAUACAAGAGAGUAAAAUAUAUUUAUUCGAAGCCCAUAAAUUUCAUCUUCUGUGUAGCUGCUUAUCAAGGAAGAUUUUGAGCAGACAGGAGACAUCACUCUGGUGAAAGAAAUCUGUAAAGUGGGUACAUUGUUGAUCAUCGGGAAGGAUAGUCAUGAGUACUGUCUAUGCGGGAAGCUAUAAUUAUGGUCUAGAAUUUUUAAAAUAUAGACUGGGAUAAAAAUGGAAAUGAAUGAGCAAAAGAUUAUUUUGGAAGAAUAAUUGACUGUUUUAGGCAAUUGAUUUGGACAUGAAGGUGAGGAAAAUGAAGGGAUCAAAGAUGGCUGUAACUUCUGAGCCAGGGAGCCUGGAAGAAUAAUAGUAUUAAUGAAAGAAAUGAAUAAGUUGAGCAAAGCAAUCUUUAUGAAUUCAAAUUUAUAUAUAAUUAAAAUAAAAGAGAUAAAGUAUAGUUGAUUUUUUUUUCUAUGUGUUUUCAGUAGCAAUUGUACAAGAACAAACAGAAGAAACAUUGCAUUGGAUCUUCCUUUGUUACUUAUUUUUGAAGAUUUAUGAGAUCAGACAAUAGAAGGCGUGCCUUCCUGGAUUUUAUGGUUUGGAUUGUGCUCACAUCUGUGACUGCAAAAAUGGAGCCAGUUGUGAUGCAGUGAAUGGACAGUGCAUUUGCCCAGCAGAUUUCCAUGGCAGCCAGUGUGAAAAAGAGUGUUCACUUGGAAUGUUUGGAGACAAUUGCCAUCAACUUUGUGACUGUGAAUGAGAAAGUUCCUGCCACUCAGUAACUGGAAAAUACUUCUACCCACCUGAGAAAACUGGAGCCACAUGUGAUGCUGAAUGCAGGUCAGGCCAGUAUGGAUCGAACUGUGCUCUGAAGCGUCAGUGUAUCCACAGAGCUCACUGUAACUCUCAUGUUGGAAGCUGCACUUGCCCCUCAAAGAGAAUGGGUCCAACGUGUGAGGAAAAUGAUUUGGGCGAGCCUCAAUAACCAAAUACUAGCAGCUUUUCAGUGGGUGAAUAGAAUGUUGCCAGGGUUCACCCAUGGUUCAUCAUCUUAACUUUGGCAGAGAAAUGUACUUACUCAACAACUAUCUUCGGCCCAGCUUCGCCUGUUGUGAGGUGAAAAACAGGACGUUUCAACUUUAUGGCUUCCAAAGACAAGUUCCAUUCUCUAACCUACCCUUCCCAACUGCUUUUUGCUGAAGAACAUGCCCAAGAAAAAGAAUGUUUUUUCAAGAUCCCAAUCAUAGUAACAUUUUGGACUAAUAAAUAAAACUCUUUUUUUUUUUAUAUGCACAGGCGGUAUUUAAAUUUGGAAUGAAGAACUGCUUCUCAGUUCAGGUUGGACUGCACUGAAAUAUUCACACCUAUUCACCGAAGACCUCAGUGGCUAUUAAGUAGCUGGAUCCUCUUUAGAAAUGUCUAGAAUUUCAUCUAUUUAUUCUCAGUAUCCUGCUUCACAGUUCAGUCUGCUUCAGAUUGUUAAUGUAUUGUAUUUCAAACAUGACUUUUGGUGUGGGAGACCAUUAAGAUGAAGCCACAUAAAAAUCAGUGUAAAAUUAUGAUGUGCACACUUAUAAUGAAUCAUCAAAAUGUUUAGUGGUGUUCUCCCCAUCAAUGGUCAGCCUACAGGAAAAAAGUCAGUGAGCAAGGCAAGUUCUUAGCCAGCCCUUGGAGACAGAUUUCCCAUAGAGAAGGGCCUGCUGGGAAUUAGGCUUUUAAUCCACAUUGGUAUUCUUCACCCAAAUUGCUCAUCAACCAGUGUCUCUUGGCUAUACCUAUCUGACCUGCAAAGAGAAUAAGAUAUAUAAAAACAACAUUCUCUUUUGGGCUGCCAUCCACCGCUGGACUCCCUUCAUUUCAAGACUUAAAAAAAACAGUGACUACAGAGAAAAGAAGCAAGAAACCAGAUUUCUCUUCCUUACUAGAGAUGUUAUCUCCUAUUAA